UACGAAGGGGGCUAGCGUUGUUCGGAAUUACUGGGCGUAAAGCGCGCGCAGGCGGCUAUCCAAGUCAGUGGUGAAAGCCCGGAGCUCAACUCCGGAACUGCCAUUGAAACUGUUUAGCUUGAGGACGAGAGAGGUGAGUGGAAUUCCCAGUGUAGGAGGUGAAAUUCGUAGAUAUUGGGAAGAACACCGGUGGCGAAGGCG
rnacentral:rRNA from 1 species